rnacentral:rRNA from 1 species
AGAGUUGGAUCAUGGCUCAGGACGAACGCUGGCGGCGUGCCUAAUACAUGCAAGUCGUCCGGGGAGGUUCGUGGAAGUCCUUCGGGAUGGAAGCGGACGUCCUAGCGGCGGACGGGUGAGUAACGCGUAGGGAACCUGCCCUCAAGACCGGGAUAACCCGGGGAAACUCGCGCUCAUACCGGAUGAGGCCACGAGGCCGCAUGGUGUUGUGGUCAAAGGGGAAACCCGCUUGAGGAUGGCCCUGCGUCCCAUCAGCUAGUUGGUGAGGUAACGGCUCACUAAGGCGAUGAUGGCNUAGUCGGCCUGAGAGGGUGAGACGGCCACACUGGCACUGAGACACGGGCCAGACUCCAUACGGGAGGCAGCAGUAGGGCCAUCUUGCGCGAAUGGGCGGAAGAGCCUGUACGCAAGCGGCACGCCGCGUGGGGGACAGACAG